rnacentral:rRNA from 1 species
AGCCCAGAGCCUGAAUCAGUGUGUGUGUUAGUGGAAGCGUCUGGAAAGGCGCGCGAUACAGGGUGACAGCCCCGUACACAAAAAUGCACAUGCUGUGAGCUCGAUGAGUAGGGCGGGACACGUGGUAUCCUGUCUGAAUAUGGGGGGACCAUCCUCCAAGGCUAAAUACUCCUGACUGACCGAUAGUGAACCAGUACCGUGAGGGAAAGGCGAAAAGAACCCCGGCGAGGGGAGUGAAAAAGAACCUGAAACCGUGUACGUACAAGCAGUGGGAGCACAGAGCAAUCUGUGUGACUGCGUACCUUUUGUAUAAUGGGUCAGCGACUUAUAUUCUGUAGCAAGGUUAACCGAAUAGGGGAGCCGAAGGGAAACCGAGUCUUAACUGGGCGUUAAGUUGCAGGGUAUAGACCCGAAACCCGGUGAUCUAGCCAUGGGCAGGUUGAAGGUUGGGUAACACUAACUGGAGGACCGAACCGACUAAUGUUGAAAAAUUAGCGGAUGACUUGUGGCUGGGGGUGAAAGGCCAAUCAAACCGGGAGAUAGCUGGUUCUCCCCGAAAGCUAUUUAGGUAGCGCCUCGUGAAUUCAUCUCCGGGGGUAGAGCACUGUUUCGGCAAGGGGGUCAUCCCGACUUACCAACCCGAUGCAAACUGCGAAUACCGGAGAAUGUUAUCACGGGAGACACACGGCGGGUGCUAACGUCCGUCGUGAAGAGGGAAACAACCCAGACCGCCAGCUAAGGUCCCAAAGUCAUGGUUAAGUGGGAAACGAUGUGGGAAGGCCCAGACAGCCAGGAUGUUGGCUUAGAAGCAGCCAUCAUUUAAAGAAAGCGUAAUAGCUCACUGGUCGAGUCGGCCUGCGCGGAAGAUGUAACGGGGCUAAACCAUGCACCGAAGCUGCGGCAGCGACACUGUGUGUUGUUGGGUAGGGGAGCGU